UACGUAGGGUGCGAGCGUUGUUCGGAAUUACUGGGCGUAAAGAGCUCGUAGGUGGUUUGUCGCGUUGUUCGUGAAAACUCACAGCUCAACUGUGGGCGUGCGGGCGAUACGGGCAGACUGGAGUACUGCAGGGGAGACUGGAAUUCCUGGUGUAGCGGUGGAAUGCGCAGAUAUCAGGAGGAACACCGGUGGCGAAGGCGGGUCUCUGGGGCAGUAACUGACGCUGAGGAGCGAAAGCGUGGGGAGCGAACAGG
rnacentral:rRNA from 1 species